UCCAUCGUGAGGUGGAAUCUGAAGGAAGCUGGAGGCAAACACUCGCACUGACGAACAGAAACUUCAUAUCAAGGCUGAUUUGAGAUGGAUGAGCUUGCAUAACAAAGUAAAGUCCAAUACUGCACAAGUCCCUUUCAGUAAAUGAAGCAGUGACAUGAGUGGAAGGUUGUCACA
rfam:Alloiococcus otitis ATCC 51267 genomic scaffold supercont1.2, whole genome shotgun sequence.